ACGGGGUGCAGCAGGCGCGAAAACUCCGCAAUGCGCGCAAGCGUGACGGGGGAAUCCCAAGUGCCGUUGGUCUUAUGAUCGACGGUUUUUAGGAAGUCUAAGGAGCUUCCAGAAUAAGGGCUGGGCAAGGCUGGUGCCAGCCGCCGCGGUAACACCAGCAGCCCAAGUGGUGACCACGAUUAUUGGGCCUAAAGCGCUCGUAGCCGGAUCAGCAAGUCCCUUGUGAAAUCGGGCCGCCUAACGGUUCGGCGUGCAAGGGAUACUGUUGGUCUUGAGGCCGGGAGAGGUCGGAGGUACUCCUGGGGUAGCGGUGAAAUGCUCUAAUCCUAGGGGGACCACCAGUGGCGAAGGCGUCCGACCAGAACGGACCUGACGGUGAGGGGCGAAGGCUAGGGGAGCGAACGGGAUUAGAUACCCCGGUAGUCCUAGCUGUAAAGCAUGCGGGCCAGGUGUCUAGCGCUCCUUGAGGGCGCUAGGUGCCGGAGGGAAGCCGUUAAGCCCGCCGCCUGGGAAGUACGGCCGCAAGGCUGAAACUUAAAGAAAUUGGCGGGGGAGCACCACAAGAGGUGGGACCUGCGGUUCAAUUGGAUUCAACGCCGGAAAACUCACCAGGGGCGACAGCUGGUUGACGGCCAGAUUGACGAUCUUGCCCGACUAGCUGAGAGGUGGUGCAUGGCCAUCGUCAGCUCGUACCGUGAG
rnacentral:rRNA from 1 species